rnacentral:rRNA from 1 species
UACGAAGGGGGCGAGCGUUGUUCGGAUUUACUGGGCGUAAAGCGUGCGCAGGCGGUUUUGUAAGUCUGACGUGAAAUCCCCGGGCUCAACCUGGGAAUUGCGUUGGAGACUGCAAGGCUGGAGUCUGGCAGAGGGGGGUAGAAUUCCACGUGUAGCAGUGAAAUGCGUAGAGAUGUGGAGGAACACCGAUGGCGAAGGCAGCCCCCUGGGUCAAGACUGACGCUCAUGCACGAAAGCGUGGGGAGCAAACAGG